rnacentral:rRNA from 1 species
GUAAUUAAAUGGCCGCAGUAUUUUGACUGUGCUAAGGUAGCAUAAUCAUUAGUUUUUUAAUUGAAAGCUGGAAUGAAGGGUUGGAUGAAAAAAAGACUAUUUUUAUUUAAUUAUAUUAAAAUUUUAUUUUUAAGUUAAAAAGCUUAAAUUUUAUUAAAAGACGAGAAGACCCUAUAGAGUUUAAUAUAAAUUAGAUUUAAUAAAAUUAGGAUUUAUUUUUUUAUUUUAAAUUUAUAUUUAAUUGGGGUGAUGGAAAAAUUUAUUUAACUUUUUUUUUAUUUUAAUACUAAUAAGUAAUUUUUUGAUCCAAUAUUUUUGAUUAUAAGAUAAAAUUACCUUAGGGAUAACAGCGUGAUUUUAUUAGAGAGUUCAAAUCGAUAAUAAAGAUUGCGACCUCGAUGUUGGAUUAAAAUUUAUAAUUGGUGUAGAAGCUAAUUAAUUA